GGGGACAUGGUCUAGUGGUAUGACGGAUCCUUAGCAUAGUUGCAGCUUCUGCUUCCGGCUUGGAUCAGGUCCGGGGUUCGAUUCCCCGUGUCUCCA
rnacentral:tRNA from 1 species